CUCUCUCCUGCCAGAUCUAAACUCAGCUGCUGGACAAGGUUAUUGUCAAGGUGGUUUCAGUGCUGAAUUCACAAAGGCAGGACGGGUUCUUCUUGGUGGCCCUGGAAGCUACUUCUGGCAAGGCCAAGUGUUCUCAGCAACUCAAGAGGCCAUUGAAGAAUCCUAUGACCCGGACUAUUUUAUCGUUGUGGUUAGAGAAGAGCUCAAGACACAUCAGGCUCAUAUCAAAGCGGAUGACAGUUACCUAGGUGAGUUC